GGGCGCUGCGCCAUCGGCCACGCCGCCUCCGCUCGCCCGAGCGCCGCGGGGGAGGAACGUGCCGCGCCACGGGCUCGUCCCGCUCCGGGGCCGCGCUGGACCGUUGGGCGCGAGGAUGCGCUGUGGAGAAGCGCACCUGCCCAGGGGAGAGCCCUGCUCCGCAGAGCUGCCCUCGUGCUGCGCGGGCUCUCCGCCUCACUGCCUUCGGGCGCUGCGUGUGGAGCUCAGUGCCCGCUUCUUUGGGGCCCUACGGAUGCUGGGCGUUUAUCUUUUUAGGAUAUAUGAGCACAAGCACCGUGUAGAUACUGUUCUCAACAUAUCUUUUACUUUUGUUUUGUUUUGGUCCAUAUUUCAUCUCUGUCUUCAUAACUGAAACAAACGCUUGAGCAGUAUGACAGCCCUUCUAGCUUGGCUGGUUGAACGUGACCAGCCAGCACUACCCAAAAUGUCCUCGAGGCCGUGAGAUUUCUCUGAAUUUUAGGAAAAAGGCAGAAAAGGAGAAAGAAAAAAAGAAAAAAAAGGAGGAGGAGGAAAGACAACUGCUGGCAGUCGUACUGAAGUGUGUCCUGGCUCCUCAGUAUGUAAUGAUAGUCUUAGAGCUGAAGUGAGUCUCACUGAUGGAAUAUGAAGAAAGCAUAAAAUUAACCCCUCAGCAUGAGAAGAUCAUUUUUGUGAUGACCUCUCAAAAAAGUUGUAUUUCCCACAUUUACCCGAAUAGCAAGCUCAUAACAAGGGCCAAGUGCUGAAAAGUUGUAUAUGUCAGGUUUGGCACAGCGCUACUGUAAUGGUACAGCUUCCAGAUGGGCGCUGGCUCCUGCCACACCAGCUCAGAGAGCAGGCAGGACGAACAUGUGUCUGCAUGCACCCAUCUGUAUAACCGCCUUCAGGCCCUCAGCUUUCCUGGAAGGCAAGAAGCUGCAGAGCGAUGUUACAGGCUGCUGGCAAACAUCAUCCUCAGAGUUGCUCCUCAUCCUCUAUUUGCCUUCUCUUCUGGGCAGCCGUCUCACUUAUUCAUAG
rnacentral:lncRNA from 1 species